UUCUCCCUUCUUCUUCUUCCCUUUUCUUUUUUCUUUCUUUCAAACCCAAGCCGCCACCGUUGGUGACUCCUUGCUCCGUUCGGCGGUGUAACGGCCGACGUUCCCUCUCGUGCCUUCUAUUCUUUUCUUUCUUCCUCCUUUUCUUCUUUUCCUUUUUCUCUUCUCUUUCACUUUUCUCUCCUUCCCUUUCCUCUCUUUUCUUUCUCUUCUAUUUCUUUUCUCGGCAACCCCAAGGUUGAAAGCGCUGCCGCAACGCUCGUCGUUGGCUCUUCUCCUCCCUCGGUGGCUCACGAAGAAGACCAAAAAUUUCUCACUAUUUUUAUCUUUUGCUGCUGUUUUUUUACUGUCUCUUUCUUGCUUUUUGGUUGCUUGUUGUGUUUGAUUUGUUGUAGGUGCCGACGGUGGAGCAACACCGGUGGUGGUGCUACGAGGGCGGUGGUGGAGCAUGGCUGAUUGGCGGUGUCAGGCGUGGAGUGCGGUGCAUGCUCGUAUGCUGGUUGGGGGCAGUCUUGUCAUGCCCAGAAGGACCAAAUUGUAACGGGUGCAAAGUUUCUGGGGCAAAAAUGCAAUUUUAGGAAAAUAUAGGGCUAAAGUGUAAUUUUUAGAAAGUUUAGGGGGCUAAGUGUAAUUUACAAAGUAUUAGGGGUCAAGAUGUAAUUUUUGAAAAAUUUAAGGGCUAAAAUGUAAUUUUUGAAAAGUUUUGGGGCUAAAAUGUAAUUUAUUUUUUUGUGUUUUUCAAA